rnacentral:rRNA from 1 species
GACAGAGGUGCCGAGCGUUAGGCGGAAUCACUGGGCUUAAAGCGUGUGUAGGCGGACCGUUAAGUACCUUGUGAAAUCCCACGGCUCACCCGUGGAACUGCUGGGCAUACUGGCGAUCUUGGGCCAACUAGGGGCAACUGGAACAAGCGGUGGAGCGGUGAAAUGCGUAGAUAUCGCUUGGAACGCCGAAGGUGAAAACGCUCGCUGGGA